UACGAAGGGGGCAAGCGUUGUUCGGAAUUACUGGGCGUAAAGGGCUCGUAGGCGGCUUAUCAAGUCAGGCGUGAAAUUCCCGGGCUCAACCUGGGGGCUGCGCUUGAUACUGAUGAGCUUGAAUGCGGGAGAGGAUAGUGGAAUUCCAGGUGUAGCGGUGAAAUGCGUAGAUAUCUGGAGGAACACCGGUGGCGAAGGCGGCAUCCUGGACCGGUAUUGACGCUGAGGCGCGAAAGCUAGGGGAGCAAACGGG
rnacentral:rRNA from 1 species